rnacentral:hammerhead_ribozyme from 1 species
AUCUAAGUGACCAGUCCCAAAUAGGACGAAACGCGCGUCGUGGAU